CAGUCACUCUCGUAAGCUCGGACUGGCUGGACGUUUUCUUCGAACCGUAAAUUUACAUAUUUGCUCGGGGAGUUUUUUUUGUUGUUGCUGCUGUUUUUUUUUUAAAUCUCACAUUCAUACAUUUCCCCUGUACAAUUCGCGCGAGCGAAGUCUCUGCUGCUGGAAGCAUUGAACAAUCAAUCCGGCGGUUGGUUGAGUCAUUGGCGACCAAUGUGGUAUUGUGUCUCUCCAUGACUACGAGUUUUGGCGAUUUCGGCGGAGUGAUUGAGUAGAUGAAAAGUUCGAAACAAGUGCGUUUUAUGUAAGAAACGGAAAGUUUUUUUCCUCUCUCUCACUUCUGUGCGCCUUUUGAAGUGAUAUUCAGUCUGAGGUGGAAAAUUAAAAAGCUGUGAAAAGUGUGACAAGUGAAGCAAAAACAAAACCUCAAUCCCAAACUGACGAAAUCGCACCGAAAAUCGAUUGGUUCGCCGAUUCUCGUCUGUGGCCGUGCGUGUGUUUAUGAUUGACAAAAUCCGUCGUUUAGCACCCGCUAAUUGUUGCACUUAGCGUCACGUGAGAGGACUCGAAAACCUCGAGGGAACUUAUUUUGCGAAAUCCCAAAAUUAAGCACUGCCAGCUUAGAGUAUUAAUGCCAUCGGUGUCAUUUAAAUUAUUCUUUUAUACGAAGAAUUGUCGGGUGAGUGCUCCCUGCGAAAGUGAAUGAGAACAAAUUGAACCACAUUUGGACAUUUGAACAAAUAAAACGGGUGCACGCAAUUGGGACAGUAGCUGAGUAGGUGGAUUAUCUCCAGGGAAAUACCAACGCGAUUUUUGUGCUGGAGACGAAUUCUUUAGCAUCCAAUGUCGCUGUAGGAUCGCAACACCGUUUCUCUCCACGUCUAGUUUAAAAUCACCCACGCAGUUCCGUACUGUAACGGCACAAACAGAAUCGGCGGCCAGCAGUGACGACGACGCGAUGCCCCACAGCAGGAUACAGUGGCUGUGGCCGACGUUGGCCCUCGUUGCCAUCUCAUGCACUGCCGUUGUGUCAACACCUGUGCAAACAACGUCACAGGCAGAGCUUUAUCUAUCACAAUUUGGUUACAUCAAUGCAAAAUAUCGAAAUCCAACCAGUGGGAACCUGCUGGAUAAGGACACCUGGGAGAAGGCCAUCAUGGAGUUCCAGAGCUUCGCCGGGCUGAAUGCAACCGGCGAGCUGGACAACGAAACGAUGGAGCUAAUGUCACUGCCACGAUGCGGAGUGCGGGACAAGGUCGGUUUUGGGUCCGACUCUCGGUCCAAGCGAUACGCACUGCAGGGUAGCCGAUGGAAGGUAAAAGCACUGACCUACCGGAUAUCGAAGUAUCCGGCGCGGUUGGACCGAACCGAGGUAGACAAGGAGAUAGCGAAGGCCUUCUCGGUGUGGAGUGAGUACACCGAUCUGACCUUUACGCCAAAGAAAAGUGCGCCGGUGCAUAUAGAUAUCCGAUUCGAGGUGAACGAGCACGGUGAUGGUGAUCCGUUUGAUGGUCCCGGAGGGACCCUGGCGCACGCGUAUUUCCCAGUGUACGGAGGGGAUGCACAUUUCGAUGAUGCGGAGUUUUGGACGAUUGGAAAGAGUCGGGGGACAAACCUGUUCCAGGUGGCAGCCCAUGAGUUUGGCCACUCGCUCGGGCUGAGCCACUCCGAUGUGCGAAGUGCACUGAUGGCACCGUUCUAUCGGGGGUACGAUCCGGUGUUUCGGUUGGACUCGGACGAUGUUCAGGGUAUCCAAGCUCUGUACGGACGUAGAACCAGCGGAGGAAGCGCCGGUGGUGGUAGCAGUUUCAGCCCAUCCCGGACGACACAACGACCCAUACUGAAGGAUUCCGAUACCGAGUUGUGCUCCUCACCAAAGAUAGAUGCCGUAUUCAAUACAGCCGAUGGAAGUACCUACGCCUUCAAGGGAGAUAAUUACUAUAAGCUCACGGAGAACGCGGUGGCCGAAGGGUAUCCGAAGAAGAUCUCGGAAGGAUGGCCCGGACUUAAAGGUAACAUCGAUGCCGCGUUCACGUACAAAAACGGCAAAACGUACUUCUUCCAGGGUACCAAAUAUUGGCGGUACUCGGGACGACAAAUCGACGGAGACUAUCCGAAGGAAAUCAGCGAAGGAUUCACAGGAAUUCCCGACCAUCUGGAUGCUGCUAUGGUGUGGGGCGGCAACGGCAAGAUUUACUUCUACAAGGGUAGUAAAUUCUGGCGGUUUGACCCAUUGAAGAGGCCGCCGGUUAAAUCCACCUACCCGAAACCCAUCUCCAACUGGGAAGGGCUGCCAAAUAACAUCGAUGCUGCCCUGCAGUACACCAAUGGCUACACCUACUUCUUCAAGGAUGAUAAGUACUAUCGGUUUAACGAUAGGACGUUCGCUAUUGACCAAUCCGAUCCACCAUUCCCGCGACCGGUAGCGCACUGGUGGUACGGCUGUAAAAACACCCCUUCGACGUUCGACACGCUAGGUAAUGUUAAAGCUAUUAAAAAAGAAGAUGUCCAACACAACAAUAUCGCCGAUGAUUUGAUUUUGGAUGCGGCAUCAGAACUGCAUCCGCCGUUCGGUAGAGCCAAUGGAGCCAACGAAAUUUAACAAACCUACCACACACACCCACUACAAACACCCACCCACCCAUCUGUUGAUCUGCCCCAUGUCAUUCUUCGGAAAGCAAUAUGCGAACAAACAACAAGCGGAUUAUUUCAGUAAGCGCAUGAUGAAAGUUUUCUAGCGACUCACAGCUUCCGUCCCUAGCGACUUUUGUUAGUUUUGUUUCUUUGCCUCGAGAAGAACAACUAUCUUUCCAAAUUUGAAGCCAAAUAAAUCAAGAUACGAUACACAAGUGAGCGCGAAUUGGCCCAAAAGUUUUUAAGUAGUCCAAUGAAAACGUGCCCAAAUCGAUUCAAGAAAAAAAAGCCCCGAAGCAAGAAAAAAAAAGAUACAUCACAAACAGUAACACACACACAAACUACGGUCAACCAUCGAAGACUGCAGCCAGCCAGUUUUGUCUAAAUGCAUUAUCAGAAAGAGAUCCGGUGCGGACGAGCGACCCGUCGGAGAUGAUUACAACAGCGGAAGCGGAUCGAGUGCCGCCCCGAACAACGUCAGUAUUACCCUUCUCGCUGCCCUGGUAGGAUUCGCGCUUAAGUCCUUCUUCUAGUGGCCUUCCCGGCCAACCCGGAUCAGUAUCGCCAAAUUUAGUUACCCUAUCAUUUCCACUGAGAAGUAAACGUAAUGUCGUGUUCGUAAGGGGGGAAACAGUUUCGCUGCGUCCGACUGCUUGUCCCAUGAUUGGUCCCGGACGCCGCGUAUGAUUUCGAGCCAAUGACCACAGAGAACGAGCAACAAACUUUUUCUCCCUUCCCAAAGUUGUGACGUGAGUGAAAUGAGCAAUACAUAGGGAUAAAAUCGUGAUACACGAAACUAUUGUUCAGAACGGAACCAUAUUUCAUAGUUCAGUUUUUGUCUCGUACGUUUUUCUGUGACAAAUUAGGAUUUUGAAUUGGUUCAUAAUAACGCAAACGAAACCAACAUCCAUCAAAGUCAUUACCGUAAGAGCUUCAUAGUGAUUAACAAGUAAAAAAAUGCAAACGGUGCCUUUUUAAAAAAAAUUGUACAUAAUAAUUAUUGUAGUUUUAACAUUGAGCAACGGAAAAUGCUGCGCAGAAAAAAAAUGCAAUGAGAGCGUUGAGAAAAAAAGGAUAACUUACUAACGAUUGUUGAUUAUUAUUAAUCUUUAUAUCAGGAUUGUUCCCUCAACUUCUUUUAAUCUGUUCCUAAUCGAACGAAGAAGUAAGUGGGAAAUGGAUAUCAUGGAAAUUGGACCAUAUCAUCUCAACCAGUGUAUAAGAGAAUCGAAAUGCAUUCAUCUGUCAUUGCAGAACUAGGAGAAAUUAUCAUUUAAUGGAAACUUUUGUACAUAUUUAUUGCGAAUAGUGCGAAUAUUAUAGGAUUAACUGAAAGAAACAAAAAACGAAAUAAAGCAAAUGAUUGUUCUCAA